GCUUGUCUCAAAGAUUAAGCCAUGCAUGUCUAAGUAUAAGCAUUAUACAGUGAAACUGCGAAUGGCUCAUUAUAUCAGUUAUAGUUUAUUUGAUAGUCCCUACUAUUUGGAUAACCGUAGUAAUUCUAGAGCUAAUACAUGCGUCAAGCCUCGACUCACGGAGAGGUGUAUUUAUUAGAUCCAACCAGCCCGGUUCGCCGGAGUCCCUGGUGAGUCAUAAUAACUGAGCGAAUCGCAUGGCCUUGUGCCGGCGAUGGUUCAUUCAAGUUUCUGCCCUAUCAGCUUUCGAUGGUAGGGUAUUGGCCUACCAUGGCGUUAACGGGUAACGGAGAAUUAGGGUUCGAUUCCGGAGAGGGAGCCUGAGAAACGGCUACCACAUCCAAGGAAGGCAGCAGG
rnacentral:rRNA from 1 species